AUGCUUUCACAACUUGACUUCAAAAUAUUUGGUUUGGAGACCAUCAAAGAUCAAUAUGUGCAUGAUGCUGAUUUUAAAGAUGUAUUGCAGAAUUGUAAAGAAGGAAGAACCUGGAACAAGUUUGUCGUUAAUGAUGGAUUUGUGUUCCGUGCUAACAAGCUAUGCAUUCCAGCUAGCUCUCUUCGUCUUUUGUUGUUGCAGGAGGCGCAUGGAGGAGGAUUAAUGGGACACUUUGGCGUGAAGAAGACGGAGGACGUACUUGCUACACAUUUCUUUUGGCCAAAGAUGAGAUGGGAUGUUGAGCGUUUUGUUGCUCGCUGCACUACAUGUCAAAAAGCUAAGUCACGACUCAAUCCUCAUGGUUUAUAUAUGCCUUUGCCUGUACCUAGUGUUCCUUGGGAGGAUAUAUCUAUGGACUUUGUUUUAGGUUUACCUCGAACAAAGAAGGGGAGGGAUAGCAUAUUUGUUGUCGUGGAUAGAUUCUCAAAAAUGGCACACUUUAUACCAUGUCAUAAAAGCAAUGAUGCUGUUAAUGUUGCUGAUUUGUUCUUUCGUGAAAUUAUUCGCUUGCAUGGUGUGCCAAAUACUAUUGUUUCCGAUCGUGAUACUAAAUUUCUUAGCCACUUUUGGAGAUGUUUAUGGGCUAAGUUGGGGACUAAACUGCUUUUUAGUACUACUUGUCACCCCCAAACUGAUGGACAAACUGAAGUAGUCAAUAGAACAUUGUCUACUAUGCUUAGGGCUGUUUUGAAGAAUAAUAAGAAAAUGUGGGAAGAAUGCUUGCCUCAUAUUGAGUUUGCUUAUAAUCGUUCAUUGCAUUCUACUACUAAGAUGUGCCCUUUUGAAAUUGUGUAUGGUUUCCUACCUCGUGCACCUAUUGAUUUGUUGCCUCUUCCAUCUUCGGAGAAGGUUAAUUUUGAUGCUAAACAACGUGCUGAAUUGAUCUUAAAAAUGCAUGAGUUAACUAAGGAAAACAUUGAGCGUAUGAAUGCUAAAUAUAAACUUGCUGGAAAUAAGGGUAGAAAACAUGUUGUGUUUGCACCUGGAGAUCUUGUUUGGUUACAUUUGCGUAAGGAUAGAUUUCCUGAUUUGCGCAAAUCAAAGCUAAUGCCACGUGCUGAUGGUCCUUUUAAGGUGUUAGAGAAAAUAAAUGAUAAUGCAUAUAAACUUGAGCUGCCUGCAGAUUUUGGGGUUAGUCCCACUUUUAACAUUGCAGAUUUGAAGCCUUAUUUGGGUGAGGGAGAUGAGCUUCCGUCGAGGACGACUUCAUUUCAAGAAGGGGAGGAUGAUGAGGACAUCAAUACCAUUGUUACAUCCACAGCCCCUGCUGCUAUACAUACUGGACCAAUUACUAGAGCUCGCGCACGCCAAUUAAAUUACCAGGUACUUUCGUUUCUUGGUAAUGAUUCUAAUGUUCAUGAGAAUAUGAUGCUGCCUAAAUUGGAUACAUUUGUUUUGCUUACAAAUGAAGGGCCUAGCUUGGAGAAGGAUGAACAUUGGAGCAAGAACAAGCAUGGAGAUGAUGGCAUGCGCAAGGGGAACAAUAACGGAGUUACAAGUGAUGAUUUCAGGACUUUGAAGCCACCAUAA
rnacentral:rRNA from 1 species